rnacentral:rRNA from 1 species
CAGCAGCCGCGGGAAUACGUAGGUGGCAAGCGUUGUCCGGAAUUAUUGGGCGUAAAGGGCUCGCAGGCGGUUUCUUAAGUCUGAUGUGAAAGCCCCCGGCUCAACCGGGGAGGGUCAUUGGAAACUGGGAAACUUGAGUGCAGAAGAGGAGAGUGGAAUUCCACGUGUAGCGGUGAAAUGCGUAGAGAUGUGGAGGAACACCAGUGGCGAAGGCGUCUCUCUGGUCUAUAACUGACGCUCAUGCACGAAAGCGUGGGGAGCAAACAGGAUUAGAUACCCGCGUAGUCCCUGUCUCUUAUAC